rnacentral:tRNA from 1 species
CAUUAGAUUACUUAAAUGCAAGUGUUGGUCUCUUAAACCAAAUUAUAGUAGAAAAAGCGAAUACUUCUAAUGG